rnacentral:rRNA from 1 species
ACGUAGGAGACAAACGUUAUCCGGAGUUACUGGGCGUAAAGGGCGUGUAGGUGGUUGUGUAAGUUCGGCGUGAAAUCUCUCGGCUUAACCGGGAGUGGUCGUCGGAUACUGCACGACUAGAGGACGGUAGAGGCGUGUGGAAUUCCGGGUGUAGUGGUGAAAUGCGUAGAGAUCCGGAGGAACACCAGUGGCGAAGGCGACACGCUGGGCCGUACCUGACACUGAGGCGCGAUAGCAUGGGGAGCAAACAGG